rnacentral:lncRNA from 1 species
CUUCGGAACAAGAUAGAAAACUCAGUUCCUCUAGCACCAUGCCUGCCUGGAAGCUGCCUGCCAUGGUACACCAUGCUUCCUGCCAUGAUGAUAAUGCACUGGACCUCAGAACUUAACUCUGGGUGCAGUAGACUCCCAUCCGAACACGUGCUUAACCAACAGUGUGCUUUGUUUACUGACACCUGUUCCAUGUGCACUCAUGAUGUGUGUGACAUCACCAAUGUUCGGAUGAUGAAUACCUGGACAUUUUUUUUAACUAAAAAGCACAAAAAAAAAGGUUCUUGUAAUUUGUCUUUAAAACUGAUGAAUGCUAAAAUGUAUUUAUUUCAUUACAAGGAAAAAUUUUAAAAUUUUUUUCCUCUACUUAUAAUGAUAACUGCUCCUUACAAUGAUGACUGCUCCUGUUAAACCAUUAAGAAUCUUGCUGUUCACUGUAUUAAAUAUGUAAGGUCUUAUCUACGUGGGUUUGAUUACAAAAACUAAUAAAGUAUUCUCUAAAUU